AUGAAGUAAUAGUGGAAGCUAAAACAUCAGACUGAUCCAGACACUGAAGAAAUUGAUGUCACUGCAAUCUGGCCAAAAUGAUACAACUAUAAUGAAGUAACCUACUAUAAUAAAGCUGCAGAACGACACAGAGACUCUGAGGACAUCAACACAGAAAAUGAAGGCUCCAAAGAGAUGUCUGUCCAGAUGAGGGUGCAUCAACGUUACCUUUGCUGACAAGUAUAUGCUUUACAAUGUAAAACCUAACAG